rnacentral:tRNA from 1 species
AGCCGCAGGCCAGCGGCCGUUCCGCCCACCUGAAAAGCGGAAGGUCGGCGGUUCGAUCCCGCCCCUGGCCACCA